rnacentral:rRNA from 1 species
ACGCACGCUGGCGGCGUGCUUAACACAUGCCAGUCGAACGGAAAGGCCCUGCUAUUGUGGGGUGCUCGAGUGGCGAACGGGUGAGUAACACGUGAGUAACCUGCCCUUGACUUUGGGAUAACUUCAGGAAACUGGGGCUAAUACCGGAUAGGAGCUCCUGCUGCAUGGUGGGGGUUGGAAAGUUUCGGCGGUUGGGGAUGGACUCGCGGCUUAUCAGCUUGUUGGCGGGGUAGUGGCUUACCAAGGCUUUGACGGGUAGCCGGCCUGAGAGGGUGACCGGCCACAUUGGGCCUGAGAUACGGCCCAGACUCCGACCGGAGGCAGCAGUGGGGAUUAUUGCACACUGGGCGGAAGCCUGAUGCAGCAACGCCGCGUGCGGGAUGACGGCCUUCGGGUUGUAAACCGCUUUCGCCUGUGACGAAGCGUGAGUGACGGUAAUGGGUAAAGAAGCACCGGCUAACUACGUG